UGGAUCAGGCCCAGAUCAACGAUCAUUUACUAUUAUGGUUCAUGGUCUUCAUUCCCAAGGAAAGCUUGAUGAGGCUCUGCAAUAUUACACAACAAUGAAGUCAAGAGGGUUGAUCUCUGAACCAAGGACCAAGAUACUGGUGAAAGCUAUACAUAUGAAGAAAGAUGGGGCUGUCACAGAAGAUCAGUCUGCAAAUAUGACAGGGAAGAAUCUAAAACUGGAUCCACGAUCUAGACUAUUCCAUGUUCAUAAAUAGUUUGCUGUCAGAUCUUACUUCUAUAACCUGAACAGAGGAUUGCUGGGCACGUAUUAUGUGUCAAAAGAAUCUCUUCUACCAGUCUCCAGAUCACAAUGGCCACACCUUGGGCUACAAUAAAUCAUCAGCAAAGUGUAUUGGCAUUAUGUAUCCCAGAAAGUUUUGCUCAGACUUUCAAUGCCAGGGUAUGUUUUUUAUGUCUGAUACGGAUCAAUUGCAAGUACUGUAUUACACCGCUCGUAUUAUGAAGGUUAUGUGAAAUAUGACAGAUGUUUGUUUAUUCAUCUGUUAUGCAUGGCUGUGUCUACUGUCUAGUUGUUGGCUUGUUGCCACCAUAUGCAGCAGCAGGUAGCUUCAGCCGCUCAGAAGCCCAAAUGAAGGAUGGCCCAGGCAGAAUAGCUAUGUCUAGACCCAGAAAGCUUAGGACAUGUCUUGCCAGCCUGCAGUUUUGUACUCGUAGCACCAACCAUCUCCGGGUUCUGGCCGGUUAUAUACAUGAUCUGGAAUGGGCAUCCGCUGAUCGAUUGAAACCUUGAACUGCUUCCGUGUUUGUCUUUUACCAUCUAUAUAGUAUGGUUAGUCAACGGCAUGCAGUACACCCAUGCAUAUGAUUGCAGUAGGAUGACAUGGCACGACCAGAACCCUUCUUUUGCCAGUUUUAGACUCUUAUACACGGCCAACUGACGCAGCAGGGAGUUGCAUGCUAAGUAGUUCAGCGUAGGUGGUGAGUUCUCAACUCUGAUAUGGCUUAUGGAAGAACACUGUCACGGUGUCACCUAGCCGGUUGGAGGCCAACCUCUUACUAGGGACAGCAAUGGCCCUGUCCACUGUUUCGUGGCUGGUAUUGUUACCCCUAUGCAGUGAAUAUGACAUGUGGAUCUAUGUGUAUAUUAUGUCGUCAAAAGAACAUUAUAUGAACCGUUGAUCCACCUUUGAUUCUAUUAAUGUGUCAUGGUCAAUUGAUGUCAAACUCUAUUAUCUUCAAGGCUUAUUGUAUUGAUAAAAUCACGAUGCUGCUACUGCCAUUUUGAUGUUUAUAAAAGGGUAUUGAGAACCUGGUGGGUAUCCAUUCGAUGCGCAGGGGUGGGGGUGGGGAAAAAUGAGUGUAAAGGACAGGGAUACAAUAUUUAGAAAGAUGGGGCUGCCACAGGAGAUAGUCUCCAAGUAUGGCAGGGAAGAAUCUAAAACUGAUUCCUUGAUCAAGACUGUCCCAUAUUCAUAAAUAGUUCACUGACAGAUCUUGCUUCCAUAUUCUGAACAGCUGAUGCUGGGCACAUAGGUGGUUAACCGGUCAGCGGAUCGAAGAAAAAAAAAUCUUGCCUGUCAGUGUCCGUGAUGGCCUCAUCUUGGGUUAGAGACAAUCAUCCGUAAAGAAUCAUGUGUUUGCCUGAUUAGUUCAAUCUCAAGUACUGUUUUACAGCUUUUACUCUGAGGGAUAUGUGAAAUAUAUGCAUAUUUGUUUGUUUAUCUGUUAUGUGUGCUGUCUAGUUGCUGCCAACAUAUGGACCCGUAAACUACGGAUAAAAGGAUGUUUUCAUAUCUUACAUAGAAUUUGGAAAACACUGUAAGUACUUCUGGUUUCGAAUGGCAAACCAUUACAAACCGAACUGAUGGUACAGUUGACUUAUUACUCCAUUUUUUGCCUUAACUUGCACCUCCGUUUGUUUCUGUUAAAUAUAUAGAUCAUACAGUGCCUGGCUACGCAGAAACUCAUAUAUAGUACAGAAAGAGUUUUGUUUGAAUGUUUGGCCACUUCCACACUGCAGAUCCUGAAUUGUUCUCAGGUAAGCUAUUUUCUGUUGCUAAUUUGCUGCCUCUGGACUACCUGCCACUUCUCUUUGCUGUUUGUUCACCGUCUUUUGACUGCCUUAUUUUGAUAAUCAGGAAUUCUUAUGUGAAAAGUACUUGAGUAAAGAUAAUAAUUCUGUUUACAUCCUUUAAACAAUUGUGUUCAUGAGAAGGAAUGAUGCGUUUCCUUUUAAGAGAAUUGUACCGAUCAACUCUGAAGUUGCAAUAUAUUCUAGGAAAUAGGUGGUCAUGAGGAUGAUACCUGCAGACUAUACUUUUAAUCCCUCAAUUCUUACAGAGAAUUGAGCUAUCAACUGCGCUUUCAUUUAUGCCACACUGCUCAGCUAUAAAAAACGGUGCAAAUCGACCAAAAUAAAUGAAUAAACCACGCAGUUUAGACUGGUGGCAUCUGUAUGUUUGAUGAGUUUAGAAUCCCAACAGACCUCUGUUUGCUUAUCCAACAGGAGGAAAAAAAACUUUACUUACUAAAUCAGCUUUGCAUGUCAGGCUGCAAUUGUUACAGCAGAAUUGGGUAAUUUGUGAACAUAAUUGAAUCAAAGUUUUGUCUCAGACUAGUAAUAGAAAAUGGUAAUGCUCCAUAGCUAGAACACGUUCCUACACUAGUUUAAAAAAUCCCCUGAAAUUGGCGACAAUGGUCAAGCCCAAUGUCAAAGUCAAAAAUUCCUACCUGCGUUCCUACCAUGCCUUGUUUAGUUGCCCAACUUUGGACAACCAAAAUUACUGUAUCGCAAUUGUAGUAUUUCGUUUGUAUUUGUGAAUUAUUGUUCAAAUAUUGACUAAUUAGGCUUAAAAGAUUCGUCUCGCAAAGUACAACAAAACUGUACAAUUAGUUUUUAAUUUCGUCAACAUUUAGUACUCCAUGCAUGUACAGCAAGUUUGAUGUGACGAAGAAUUUUUUUUGGGAUUUUGGGGAACUAAAGAGUCCAUUGGAACUUUGGAAGGCCGCUGGCGGAUGUCAAAGUCAAAAACAGAAGCAGACAGCGACGUCUCACCAGAUCACGAAUCAGAUGCGAUGCAUGUGCAUGUUAAUCAUUAGCACGCAUCCCUUAGGAUUAAACAAUUCAGCAAGUAGCUCCCCUGCUGACCAAGAAAAGCAAGCUCUGUCUGGCAGCAAGCUCUUCAAUACGCUCCAGCCCAGCUCUACCAUGGCAUUGGCAAUACGCGUCAUGAGCUUGCUUCCUGCCACCAUCGCCGUGAUGAUCGCAGCGGCCUCCUGGGGAGCGCACGGCGGUGCCAGCGACGAGGCCAGCGCGCUGCUUGCUUUCAAGGCUGAGCUCGCCGGCAGCGGCUCCGGCAUGCUUGCAUCCUGGAAUGGCACCGCUGGCGUCUGCGGCUGGGAGGGCGUGGCGUGCACCGGCGGCCAGGUGGUGGCACUGAGCCUGCCCUCCUAUGGGUUCGCCGGAGCCCUCUCCCCGGCCAUUGGGAACCUCACUUUCCUGCGGACCCUGAACCUGAGUUCCAACUGGUUCCAGGGGGAGGUCCCAGCAAGCAUCGGCCGCCUAGCGCGUCUGCAGACGCUUGAUCUGAGCUACAAUGCGUUCUCUGGUACGCUUCCUUCCAACCUCAGUUCCUGUGUCAGCUUACUGCUGUUAGAUCUCAGCAGUAACCGGUUCCAUGGGCGUAUCCCUGUUGAGCUUGGAGACAAGCUAACAAGUCUUCAGAAGUUCUCACUGGGCAACAACAGCUUGACGGGUGCCAUACCAGGAUCACUAGGUAACCUGUCAUCCCUGAACUACCUUGAUCUGACAAAAAACCACCUCGAGGGUCCGAUCCCACAUGAACUUGGCAGCAUGGGCGGCCUGCAGGUCCUUGCACUCGAUGAGAACAGACUCUCCGGUGUGCUUCCACACUCCCUGUACAAUCUGUCCUCACUGAAAAGCUUGUGGGUAGGAGACAACAUGCUGUCUGGAACCAUCCCUGCUGAUAUCGGCGAUAGGUUCCCCGGUAUGGAAGCUCUUGACUAUUCUAGCAACCGAUUCAGUGGAGCUAUCCCACCUUCGCUCGCCAACCUUUCUGCUCUCACAAAACUAGUCCUUCAAGAAAAUGAUUUUAUUGGAUUUGUGCCUUCUGCUUUGGGGAAGUUGCAAAGUCUUACUGGCCUUUUCUUGGGUGACAACAGGCUAGAAGCAAACGACAGUCAAGGGUGGGAAUUCAUCACUUCACUGGCAAACAGCUCCCAACUUCAGCUUCUUGUUCUCGGCAACAACUCUUUCAGCGGGCAACUGCCUAAUUCAGUCACAAACCUGUCAUCAACUCUGCAAGGUCUUUAUUUGGGAGACAAUAUGAUUUCUGGGAAUAUUCCAAUAAACAUCGGAAAUUUGGUUGGUCUUACAGUAUUUGAGAUGGGAAAUAAUACUUUUGUAUCUGGACAGAUUCCAGAGAGCAUUGGUCAGCUAAGAAACUUGGGUGUGUUAGGCCUUUACAACACUAGCUUGUCAGGCCUCAUACCUUCAUCACUAGGAAAUCUUACACAGUUGAAUCUUCUUUAUUUAUACUAUGGAAACUUAGAGGGGCCAAUUCCAUCAAACUUGGGGAACUUAAAGAAUGUGUUUGCCUUUGAUCUCUCAACAAAUCGACUCAAUGGUUCAAUUCCUAUAGAGGUUUUAAAACUUCCUCGACUUUCCUGGUACUUAGACUUAUCAUAUAAUUCAUUAUCCGGGCCACUUCCAACUGAGGUUGGUACCAUGGUGAAUCUUAACGAACUGAUUCUGUCUGGAAACAAGUUGUCAGGCACCAUACCAGCUAGUGUUGGGAACUGUAUAUCGUUGGUACGGCUGCUGCUCGAUAACAACUUAUUAGAAGGAAGCAUACCUCAAUCUCUGAAGAACUUAAAAGGUCUUGCAUUACUGAACCUAACAAUGAACAAGCUAUCUGGUAGUAUUCCUGAUGCCCUUGCUAGCAUUGGCAACCUGCAACAACUGUAUCUAGCACACAACAACUUGUCAGGUUCCAUCCCCAAAGUUCUACAGAAUUUGACAUUGUUGGCAAAACUGGAUUUGUCAUUCAAUGAUCUGCAAGGCGAAGUGCCAAAAGGGGGUCCUUUUGCAAAUGCAACUCACUUGUCAAUUGAUGGAAAUGGUGAGCUUUGUGGCGGAAACCCUCAACUUCACUUAGCUCCGUGCUCCACAGCUGCUGCGGGGAAGAACAGAAGGCGAAUGUCAAGGUCAGUUAUGGUCACCGUAGCGUCAAUCUGCGCACUUCUAUUCUUAGGUUUAGUAGUUUUUCUUAUCCAUUUGAUCCACAAGAGGCUCGGACAAGGAAAGGAAAAUCAACUCAUUCCCACAGUAAUUGAUGAACAGCACGAAAGGGUUUCAUAUCAAGCAUUAGCAAAUGGGACUGACCAUUUUUCGGAGGUUAAUCUGCUCGGACAAGGAAGCUAUGGUGCAGUUUAUAAGUGCACUUUACGUGACAAGGGAAUUACCGCAGCUGUAAAGGUAUUCAACGUAUGUCAAUCUGGUUCUACUAGAAGUUUUGUAGCUGAAUGUGAGGCACUGCGAAGGGUGCGCCACCGAUGUCUCAUAAAGAUCAUCACCUGUUGCUUAAGCAUUGAUCACCAAGGCCAAGAAUUCAAGGCACUGGUUUUUGAGUUCAUGCCCAAUGGUAACCUAAAUGGUUGGCUGCAUCCAGCAUCCAAAAUACAGAGUCUGAGCAAUACGCUCAGCUUAGCUCAGAGACUGGACAUUGUGGUAGAUAUCAUGGAUGCUUUGGAUUAUCUUCACAAUCAGUGUCAACCGCCUAUUAUCCAUUGUGAUCUCAAACCAAGUAACAUCCUCCUUGCCGAAAGUAUGAGUGCUCGGGUUGGAGAUUUCGGCAUAUCAAAAAUCCUUCCUGAUGACACUAGCAAAAUUAUGCUGAAUUCGGUUAGCUUCACUGGACUAAGAGGUUCCAUUGGAUAUGUCGCUCCAGGUAACAGAAACUAACACUGAUAUUGCUAUGUUCAGUUCUUAACUUCCAUUUUGCCAAGUCCAGUUAUCUCGGCAUGAAUCGUUCGUAAGUAGCUUGCCAUGAAUCCACUGACCAAAUAGUGUCUGAAAUCUGAAUUGACUGCAGAGUACGGCGAGGGUCGCGCCGUCUCAACUCUUGGAGAUGUUUACAGCCUCGGCAUACUGUUGCUUGAGAUAUUCACCGGUAUGAGCCCUACUGACGACAUGUUCAAAGGCUCCUUGGACCUUCAUAAGUUCGCCGAGGCCGCUCUUCCCAACAGAGCCUUGGAGGUAGCCGACCCGGCAAUCUGGCUUCAUGAAGAAGCAAAGGGGGAAGACCCGGCCACGGUGAGAAGCAGAAGCGAGAGGUGCUUGGCUUCAGUGGUCGGGCUUGGCGUGUCCUGCUCAAAGCAGCUGCCAAGGGAGCGGACGGCGAUGCGGGAUGCUGCCGCUGAGAUGCGUGCGAUCAGAGAUGCCUUCCUGGUUCAAUGUGCAACAGAGACUUGGCCUGCAGUCGGCACCACCGGCCUUGGAAGUGCAGACAGUUGAAUGGUGGACGGAGCUACGGUCUCUUGACGCACCAAGGAGCACCGGACUAGCAACUCUGCAACUAACAGAGUGGAAAAAGCGCCCCUUAAUGAAAAGAAAAACAGCCGGUGCAAGGCUUUAUACAAAGAAUGUGACAGCCACUGCGUGUAUCCGAGAGCCUUAUCUAAUCUACCGAGGAUUGUUGUGUAUGGAUGCGUAUAGAUUAUGCACGGACUCCUCUGUCCUAAAAUAAACGCACAUCUUGCUUCUUUAGCAGUCAAACUUCUAAGUUUAACUAAAAUUUAUAAAAAAAAUGUACUACUAUUUAUAAUGUAUAAUAAAUAUCAUUAGAUUGAGCAUUGGGUAUACUUUCCUAAUACAUUUAUUUGAAGAUGCAAAUGUUGAUACUAUUUUCUAUAUUCUUAGUCAAAUUUAAAAAUAUUUGACUCAUCGAGAAGCGAGAUGUGUGUUUAUUUUGGGACGAAAGGAGUACCCGUCACCGGGAUUAGUCAAGAUAUAAGAUUAGUCAUGAUAUAAGUAGGGAUUAGCAAGCACCAAAACCCCAUUUACUGCCUAUCGAUCGCUCAAAUAAAAGAAACCAUUGCAUAUGGUGGCGAUGCGCUCGCGGGCCUUUCUCCAACCUUUCUGCUCUCGCGGGUCUUGAACUUGCACGGAACAGUUUUAGUAAAGCUGCCUCCAACUUUAGGGAGAUUGCCAAGGUUCAUUUACCUGUCCUUAAGUGGCAAUAAGUUAGGAUCGAAUGAUAAGGACGGAUUGGAAUUCAUCACCAUGCUGGCAAACUUUAGCCAGCUUCAUCAACUGGCUUUUGACAAUAAUUCAUUCAUCGGCGAACUUCCUAGCUCAAUUGCAAAUCUAUCGACAACACACCAAUUACUCUAUAUACGAUACAAUUGGAUUUCGGGAUUUAUUCCAUCCAGCAUAGGUAAUUUGCUUGGUCUAGAACUGCUUACGUUGGCAAAUACUUUCAUAUCCGGAAUGAUUGCAGAUAGCAUUGGUCGCCUAGAAGACAUGUCCGUGUUAGGCAUUUACUACGCUGACAUGUUAGGCAUUUACUACGCUAGCUUGUCAGGUAUCAUACCUUCAUCACAAGGAAAGCUUACACAGUUGAAAACUCUCUAUGCGUACGAUAGCAACUUGGAGGGUUCAUUUCCAGCAAGCUGGGGGAACUUAAAGAAUCUUUUUGUUCUUAAUCUCUCAACGAAAGUGUGUAACCCGCUAAAGUUUCAUGUCAAAGCAGAGCAUAAAUCUCUCUCAAAACUGCAAAAUUAUCAUAAAGCAGAUCAGUCUGAGGGCCAGCCUAUGCCCUAUCAACGCCUCCCUUCUUGCCCUUUUGGUAAGAUUACCCCAAACUAGAGUCUAUAAUUAAUUAGCUAAGACUAGAGCCACGUAGUUCUUGUGGUUGUACUAUUUUCCUGAGUGGUCGCUCCAUGUUCCAAUUAAGCAUGAUGAUCUUGUAUUAAUAAAAGGUAUAUCAUAAAUAAAACAAGUUUAAUCAUUGAGUUCAUUAAAACCAUCACAAUCCAAGGUAUUGCAACUAAGCAUAUCUACCUAAAAAAAAAAGGUAAAACCCAGGUUGACAAGGAAUGAUCAUAAAAACUAGGUAAACCUUAAUAGGACCCAUCAAUAUUAAAUGCAGAGCAAUGCAAAAGUGAUUAAAUAUAGUUUUUGGGAUAAAAGUAUAAGGACACACGUGCCUUUCUCCAAAGAAUAGCUGCUCAGAUUAUCUUCAGCUCUUGUUCCUCAAAGCUCUCGAACAAUGUUCCUUCUACUUGCAUCAAUCAUCGGCACAAGCAUACCAAGCAAACAACAAUCACAACUAAGAACAAUACAUCAAUCAUUGGAAAGCUUUAAAAAAUCUAAGGUCACGCGAAUGCAAGAAAUGCUGGGAACGAAACUAUGGUUGAAAAGACAAAGUUAUCGAGAGAUUUGAAUUAUAAAAGAAAGAGAAAAGCCUAUGUGCUUCAUAUAUUUUAAUAAAACAAUGUAAAGAUAUUUUAGAGAAACAUCCUUAGCAUGUUAUAGUUAUGUAUGAAAAGACAAUGUAGAACUUAGUCAAAUUUUAUUUAUAAACAUUCAAGUACAAUUUAUGCAAAUUAAAAAUUUAAUUUGAAAAUAAAGUAUAUGUAAACAUCUAAGCGCAUAGCUUUAUGAUUUAGGUUGAACUAACCAAAUAUAAAUAAAAACACAUUUAUAUUUAUAUUAAAUCAAAUUAACAUAUAAUUAUGAAAACUCAAGAUAUAACUUAUGUAGCUUUUAUUUAGAAAACAAAUUGAAUAAACAUUUUAAUUAAAGAAGACAUGUUUAACAUGCAUUAAUUAGAUUAAUAUGAAAUUUAUUUUAAAAACAUGCAUGAUGGAAAGAUCAGCACUAACGUGUAAUUUGUGUUAUCACGAACCUAACUCAACAACAACGGAUAUAAACGGAGCUGUAACGAGGAGUCUAUGGGUUAAACAAGGUUGCAGGGCCUAAUCGCGAUUAACGGAAGGUUAUUGGGGCUAGCAAGGAAGAUUUGCAAGACACUGGAUUAGUGCUCACCAUUAGGUCAAAGCAUAGGGUUAGAUAUGUUAAAGUGCUCAGGUUAGACUUGGUUGCACGGAUCCAAUCUAAUCAGGGACAUGGAUGAAAAAAAACAAGACACAAGGAAAAACUAACUAUUUGUAGAGCUUUAUAGGGGCCUAUGCGCAAAAGCACCACAGCUCAGCAUCCAUGGCGGACGGGCUCCUGGAUGGCAAAACCCUCGUGUCGGAUUUAUAAGCCUGGUAGUCCACCAAGGGAUUCCCCAAGUGGUUGAUUUGUAGGUGAGGGUGAUUGUGAAACCAAGAACUCGAAGGUGAUCGCGAGAACACGAAGGGACACGAAGGUUUUAGACAAGUUCGGACCUUCGGAGAGUAAUACCCUACGUCCUAUAUGCUGGUUUGUAUUGCUUGAGAUUGAUCUAAUUGUUGCGAUACCCUCGGGGGUGCCCUUGGCCGCCUUAUAUAGGCUGACGAUCAAGAGUUAAAAGUCGGUUUGAAUCUAAUCUACUCGGUAGUUACAUGGAAAAUAAUCUGAGUUGGACUACAAUAUGUGUUCCAUGAUAUCUGGGUAGAUUUGAACUAUCUUGUUGCCUUGACGUGCACUCCAAGUAACUUCAUGUCCUCGGCCCGCACGCCCUGAUCGGGCAGGCCCUACUUGUUAGGUCCGACCAGUAUCCUGGCCGGUCGGGGCCCAUGGGGUACCCAUAUCCCUCAAGCCCCCAAGCAUUGUGUAGGCAAACAGGAACUUGAUGUCAUCAAAGUGAAACUUGAAAUGAAAUCGGGUGAAGCUGCGAAGGCGUCAUGGCGACGGAGAGCUCAAAAAAAGAAAAUAUGAGCAAACGAAGAGCCAACGCGUAGAGCGAGGAUGAGUGCCGAGUUGAUGGAUGCUGGCAUCCAGCAGGUCGAAUCGAAGGUUACGGAGGGCGUCGCAAGACGCACUCUGUAGGAGUAGCCCCGGAGCAUUGAAACAAUUAAGAUAAUCAAUACAAUGGUCAAAGAGGAAAAAAUUGUCCCCUGAAGCAGAUCCUUGUGCCCGAACACAAGGAUGGACGCAGCCACGGAGGCCCGCCAACCAGAAGUAGGCACCCAGACUCAAGGACGAGGACUGGUGGGACUGUGGAGCCAUGCCGACCUGAAAUAGGCAUCUAACCCCUGAGGACGAGGACUAGCGGAGCCGCGGAGGCAUGCUAACCUGAAAUAGGCGCCCAGCCCCCGAGGAUGAGGACUGGCGGAGCCAUGAAGGCACGCCGACUUGAAAUAGGUGCCAAGCCCCUGAGGAUGAGGACCAGCAGAGCCACGAAGGCACUCUGACCAGAAUUAGGCGUCCAGCCCCCGGGCAUGAGUGCGAGGAUUGGCGAAAGCACAUCGAGUUGCCUCCCUUCCCGGGCUCAGGCAGAGAGGUUGGUCGGGUGACGGGAGGCACACCAAGUCAUCAAUGGUGCCCAGCCGCCGAGCCUAGGAGCCGGACGAGUUGCAGAAGCAUGGCAAGUCACCUCUCGCCCCGAGCUAGAGAGGUCGGCCGGGCGACGGGAGGCACGCCGAGUCAUCUACGGUGCCCAGCCCCCGAGCCUUGGAGCCGGUUGAGCCACAGAAGCACGCCAAGCCGCCUCCCGCCCUGAGCCAGAGAGGUCGUUUGGGCGACGAGAGGCACGCCGAGUCGUCUGCGGCGCCUAGCCCUCGAGCUUGGGAGCCAGACGAGCCACAGAAGCAUGCCAAGUCGCCUCCUGUCCCGUGCUAGAGAGGUCGGCCGGGUGAUGGGAGGCACGUCGAGUAGUUUUUGAGCUGUAAAAGAACAAUACAAUCAUUAUGUAGCAUAAUGUAGAUCAUUUAAUCAUUGAACAACUCGGAAGUUUAAUUCGCUGUAGAAGUAAACUCUUGCGCAUCCUGCUCUUGUAGGCCAAGUAAUUUCCCUGGGUAGUUAUCUUGUUACGUUUAAGCACCUAGCCCUACUGACCACUGUUCACGGAGAGGAUGGUUUAUCUUAGGCUAUAGCACUGGGGCUGACCCGAUGCUCGCAUAUAGGAACGCACAGGAUGAGUCAAGGUUUCAUGGAUUGAGGCGUGUGCUACCCGAGUACUUUAGCAACCGUUAACAGGGAUGGACAAGUCGCAAAGCAACCGGAACUGUGCGGAAAAACACCAGCAUGAGUUGGGCACCCAUGGGGUGUAGCCCCCAGCCGCCCGUGUAGUGGACGGACCAAGCUGUAUAAGCAGUUAGGGUGCGACCAAGGUGGUCGGCGAAAGUCACGGAGAUAUAGGAGAGCCGAGGCGGUCAGCGAAAGUCACGACAACAUGGAGGAGCCGAGGCUUAUGUAGGUAUAUGGAAGCUGUAAAAUAUUUUAUUGUAAAUAAUACUUAGCUUGAUUCGUGGUCGAGUCAAAGAACCCGCGUGUCAUCUUCGCGUUUAGUCUUAGAAGCCCCUGAGCGUGGUCGGCGGACAGCUAUUGGUGAAGCAAACUAGUCGAGCUCCAUGCCCAACUAAUUCGUGUCGAGUUCGAGUUGUUGGAGUUGUCAGCGGCAGGUUUGUGGUUGCGAUUGUGGUAUGCUGUUGCCAAGUCGAUGCGGCCAUCGGGUCAUGUCCGGCUGGCCGCUACGCUCACAGUACAACAUGUCUGGGUUGUGCUGCCAAACCAAGGGUGCAUGUACAUCUUUUCGAACCUCGUAAGGAAGCCCUCACGUAUUAAGGAAAUCUAUACCUAAUAUUAAAGCUCCCGCAGCGUGCGCCUAUGCCACGUGCGGUGCGGACGGGUGUGCCGGCUGCGGCUGCGAGCUCCUCACUGCGGCAGGGACCAGGUCGAGCAGCGACAGUGAUGACAAAGGGGAGUAGUCCGCGUCUGCGUGCCGUGCCACCAUCGUCGGGCAAGGUGUGGCGGUGGCGGAGGGGGAGAGUGAGUACAUCGGCGUGCAGCCGCGGCCGUGGGGCAGGUGGGCGGCGGAGAUCCGCGACCCGCACCACGCCGUGCGCAAGUGGCUCAGCACCUUUGACACAGCUAAGGAUGCCACGCGCACCUACAACAUCACCGAUGUCGAGUUUCAAGGCCACUGCACCAAGAUCAACUUCCCCGACGACACGGCCCCCGCGCCCGCACCUUCCUGGGUGCCGACCUCGACAUACCACCGCCACGACCACCUGCCGCUGCCGCUGCCCGAGAGCCUACACGAGACCUGCGGGGCGAACGCAUCCUCGUCGGUGGAUGUGGCUCUUGCGGUAGCGGCGUCGGCCGAGCAGCACGGCACGAGGCCGGUGCCGAAGGAGCAGGACAUCUGGGACAGGCUGAACGAGUUCAUGAUGAUGGAUGACGGUAGCUUUUGGUCACCCAUGCUAUGAUCGUCACAUUCUCCUCCAUUCUCCUCUUGUUUUCACUUUCGUUGCUUAGCGGAUAAUGGUGGUCAGCUGGCCUCUGGUCUGUCGUCAAUCACCAGCCAUCCAUCGCUUUUAUAUGGUUUUACACUAGCUUUUGGGCUUUGACCACGCCCUCCACACCCAUACGAAACGACUAGGUAGAGUGAUGUUGAUCUACUGCUUGCCGCGCGCUAGGGCGAGUAGCUACUCACUCGGGCUAGAUGCCCUACCCGCCACCUGGACCUAAGAGGUGAAGGAGAGGAGGGAGGGGGAAGGAAACAAGGAGACGAGUGCCUCUUUGCAGUCAACCAAGUAGAGCCAUAUGCCAGCGAAGGCAUGGCGCCAGCGAGGGGGGGGGGGCGCAGCGGCAGUCGGCAGGCAACACAAAUAGGGGGCGGAGGUCGGGACCUCACAUCCCCCGCUCAAUGAUGUCCAUCCCCUUCAGAUCCAGAACUAAAGCCUCCACAUCUAGCAAUUGGGGGCUCGAUUUUGCACUUGAUUGGAACGAUUUGGAGUGGAUUAUAGAAGGGAAGUGGAUGGAAACGAGAAGAAGAGGAAAACACAUUCCUGCUCAUGGUGGCCAGAGGCGCGGUGGCCUAGCGCUCGAAGCAGGAAUGAGGCUAGGCACGGGAAGGACGAACGUUUGCCUGGGCGACGGUGAGGAUGGCAAGAUGCGUAGCGCCUGGACGAUGGCGAAGAUAGGGCACGAUGCGGGUGGCGCCGACGGACGAAGUGGCAUCGACUAGCUAGAUGACGAUGAGUACGGGGGAAAUCGAAUGAAUGGAUAGAGCGGAGGUUGAGUGGUGAUUUUUUUUAUUUCCAUGUGUGGGUCCCAUGUAAUAAACAGAUGGCAUCAAACCACCCACAAAUAUCUUCUACUACUGUACUAGGAUAACGCAUCAACAUAUGGUGAAGUGAAAUCAACAUAUUAGGAACAAGCGAAUAAUAAAGUGAGAGUAAGUAAGGACUUGAGCAACGUACAUGUAUUUCUGCUAGUAAGGAAAAAAAUUGUUAGCUGCCGUAGUAAGCACCAAGCAACGUAGGAGAUCUACUGGAUGGAAUAGAUUAAAUAAUAAAGGGAAGGGAGAAUUGUUCCUUCUUUUUGGCAGAUCCGACGUGUCUGCAUGCAACAAGUUAAGGUCAACGUGUUGUGCUAAAUCAACCGGAUCAGACCGGGGCCGGAUCAGGCGAGCUUGGCUGUGGCCGGGAUGAGGCCAAUAAGGGCGUCGCCCUUGACCUUGGCCUCCUGCGCCUCGCGGAUCUUCUACAUCUGGAGCAUCUGCUCCAUGAUGAGCUCGUACUGGCACUUCUUGUAGGCGUGGCGCUCGGGCUCGCACUUCCAGCGGAGGUAGAACUCGGAGGUGCACGCACUGGUCGUGGUAGGCGAGCGGCACCCAGGCCUCCGCCAUCUCCACCUGCGUGACGAUCUGGGGCUUCGAGGAGCCGAACUGAAUGCCGGCCAUUGCCGCCGCCUCCAUUUGUCACUUUGUUGCCCUCUCUCUUGCCGGCGAGGUCGUUCCGUUGAUAGAUGGGUGCUGCGGGUUUGGUGCGGCGUGGGUGGGUGGGGUGCAUCAAGGACGUGAGGAACCCUCUCGGAGAGAGAGAUUGCUGACCUACUAGGUAAACGGUGUGAUGAUCCUUUGAUAUAGACCUUGCUCCGCCGGAGUAAAUUCGACAGAUGCCAAGCUGGCGGCGGGCAUUGAGUCGAAGUCCACUAGCAUGCUCCUGAAGUGGAGCUGGAUCGGAUUGGUGAGGAAGUCCUUCAUGCUCUUGGGGAAAACAAUGUCGGGGCGGGAUGCCAUCGAGCUCGCUAGGGAGGAUCUUACAAUCAUCCCUACCUAGCGCACCAACUGUUGGAUUUAUAAGCCCGGUAGUCCACCAGGGGGUUACCCAAGUAGUUGAUUUGUAGGUGAGGGCAAUUGCAAAAUCAAGAACUCGAAGGUGAUCGCGAAAACACGAAGGGACACGAAGGUUUUAGAUAGGUUCGGGCCUCCGGAGAGUAAUACCCUAUGUCCUGUAUGCUGAUUUGUAUUGCUUGAGAUUGAUAUGAUUGUUGGGAUACCCUCGGGGGUGCCCUUGGCCGCUUUAUAUAGGCUGACGACCAAGAGUUACAAGUCGGUUUGAAUCUAAUCUACUCGGUAGUUACAUGGAAAGUAAUAUGAGUCAGACUACAAUACGCGUUCCAUGAUAUCCAGGCAUAUUUGAAUUGUCUUGUUGCUUUGACGUGCACUCCAAGUAACUUUAUGUCCUCGAUCCGCACGCCUUGGUCAGGUGGGCCCUACUUGUCAGGUCUGACCAGUAUCUUGAGGUACCCAUAUCUCUCACCUUGGUGCUCCGGCGAUUAGGGUCAGUGGCGAGGAUGGGGAUUGGAAGAGGAGAUCGAGGGGACUUUAUGGAGAUGCUCACCGGCGACGAGGCGGACAGAUUCUGGCAAGUAUUUGGCUGGCGGUGGAAGAACACGACAGCUGGCUCAAGUCUUCGUGAGUGAUGGUACUCCAGCGGUGGAGCGACGACGACGACUGGUGGCAGAGCUGCUCCUCGAUGUCACGGAGCUCCCUAAGGCUCUAGCUUGCUCCGAUGGUCGACGGGCACAACGAAUCGGCCAGAGAAGGACAUCAGUGGCUCCUAGCUCUGGCGGAUGUGGGGGAUGGCAGCGCUCGUGCAAGCUAGGAAGAGCGGCGGUGUGAGGCAGGGCAAUAGCAGGGGCACGAUCUCAACUUUUAUAUGUACGUGGGUCCGCGCCUGCCUUGGCACGCAUGCCGAGGUUCGGCGGUGGCGAUGCCCAAGUGCAGCUACGCUUGGCCUCGACCCGCUGGUGGUCGAUAUGCCUAGCGGGCCUAGCCGAGCCAUCAACUGGGCCGGGUCAGUGCAGGUUAGUUUGAGAGGGUCGGGCCCCAAAGACUUGGCCCCAUCGAUUAAGAUUUUUCUUUUUUUCAGAAAUGAUUUCUCGUGAAAGAAAAAUCCAGAAAAAUUCUAGAUAAUUAAUUUAAACAAUGAAAAAACUCUAAAAAUCCAAAAAUUUCAGGAAAAGUCAUCUCUAGUUUGGGACAUGAGGAGUCCAAAUAAAAUACUUGGAGCUCGUGAAAAGGAUUCUAGAACCUUCCAAAAAUUGGAUUUAGCUUUAGAAAAAAAUGAGAAUAAAUCUUAGAAAAAUCUGAAAAUUCUCAUAAGAACCUAAUCAGCAUCUAAACGCAUUCCAAAACUUUUGCACUUAUGAAAUACCAAGAUGCAUUGGUGUGAAUGCAACCCAUACACAAUCAUUAUAUUUAAUUCAGAAAAACACUCAAUUAUUUUCCUAUACUAAAUUUCCUGUCAAGAAAAUAAAUGUUGAAAUUUUUUUAAAAUUGUGAAAAAAUUAUUGUUUAAUUAUUCUUUUUAAUCACAUCCUGAAAUUUCAAAAUUUUUAAGGUGAGGCAGAUACCCUCAGGUUUACAGAAUUUGACAUCCAUGUGCAAAUUGGAUCUAUCCUUCCAUGAUCUGCAAGGUGAAGUGCCAAAAGUUUUUUUUUGGCAAAUGCAACUUACAUGUCGAUUUAUGGAAAUGAUCAGCUUUGUGGUGGAAAUACCUCAACUUCAUUUAGCUCCAUGCUCCAUGUCCAGUGCAAAAAAGAAAAAAAAGGAAAUUUGUCGAAAACCCUUGUGAUCACCCUAACAUCAAUCAGUGCAGUUGUAUUCUCAGUUUCAGUACUUACUGUAAUUGUGUUGAUCUGUAAGAAGCUUAGGAAAAGGCACGAAAGUCAACUCAUAUCCACAACUGAGGAACUGUAUGAAAGAGUUUCUUAUCAUGCUUUGUCAAAUGGGACCAAUGGAUUUUGAGAGGACAAUUUACUUGGACAAGGAAGCUAUGGCAUGGUUUAUAAAUGUACUUUACAUGACCAGGGCACUACAGUAGGCUACUGUAAAGGUGUUUAACACACAACAAUCUGGGACUUCUAGAAGUUUUGUCGCUGAAUGCGAGGCACUCAGAAGGGUGCGUCCUCGUUGUCUCGUAAAGAUCAUCACUUGUUGCUCAAGCAUCAAUCACCAGGGUCAAGAGUUCAAGGCACUAGUUUUUGAGCUCAUGCCAAAUGGUAGCCUAAAUGGUUGGCUUCACCCAGAGUCUGACACACUUACCCCGACAAAUAAUCUUAGCCUUGAACAAAGGCUACACAUUGCUGUCGAUAUCCUGGAUGCUUUGGACUAUCUUCAUAAUCACUGUCAGCCAUCAAUCAUUCAUUGCGACUCAAGCCAAGCAACAUCUUUCUUGCGGAGGACAUGAGUGAGUGCCCGAGUUGGAGGUUUUGGCAUACGAAGAAUCCUUCCAGAAAGUGCUAGUAAAACCCUGCAAAAUUUGAAUAGCACAACUGGAAUAAGAGGCAUCAUUGGUUAUGUUGCACCAGGUAAUGAAAGAGAUAUUUUUGGUAUUUGUAAAAUAUUCUUAGUUCUUACGUAUACAUGACCUGCUGACCUUUGGUUUUUUUCCCCAAUCAGAGUACGGUGAAGGUUCUUCUGUCUCAACUCAAGGUGAUGUUUAUAGCCUCGGCAUAUUGCUGCUUGAGAUGUUUACUGGAAGAAACCCAACAGAUGAGAUAUUCAAUGAUUCUUUGGAUUUGCACAAGUUUUCAGAGAAUGCUCUUCCAGAGAGAAUAUGGGAUAUAGUUGAUCCGACAAUACGGAUGCACACAGAUGCCUAUAACAGCACUAUAAGAAGUGGAAUUAAGAAUUGCUUGGUUUCUGUUGUUUCUCUUGGAAUAUCAUGCUCGGAGAAACAACCUAGGGAGCGGAUCCCGAUUCUGGAUGCAGCCAUUGAGAUGCACGCUAUUAGAGAUUCGUAUCUCAAGUUUGCCAGAUCUCUUUUGGUGGAGCAUGGAGUAGUAGCAACAACUCACAGUGAUUUUCCACAACAGUGAAUACAUAGGACUGAAAAUGCGCAAGAUGUCUGCAGGUGAUCAGUUUACCUGAAAUAACUGAAGAUGUAUGAAGCUUCAGCUUUAUAAUUUGUCCAUGCAUUUGUUUGCAUCAGAUAUAUGGAAGUAUAAAAUAAGUUUAGAAAAUGUUUCAAAAUAGAUUAGAUCCAGAGGUUUUAGUUGUUGUUUGUAUGACACAUUUUUGUAGAGAAUUCAGUAAUAUGUAUGAUUCAUAAUACAAUCAAUGCUCUGCAAAUUUCAGAUAGCACAAUUGGAAUAAAAAGCUCAUUCCUUGAUUAUGUUGCUCUAGGUAACUCAACUUAUUGUGGCCGGUUAUACAUGGUCUGGAAUGGGCAUCCGCUGAUGGAUUGAAACCUUGAACUGCUUCCGUGUGUUUUUUGUCAUCUAUAUAUUAUGGUUAGUCAACGGCAUGCAGUACACCCAUGCAUAUGAUUGCAGUAGGAUGACAUGGCGCGACCAGAACCCUUCUUUUGCCAGUUUUAGAUUCUUAUACACGGCCAACUGACGCAGCAGGGAGUUGCAUGCUAAGCAGUUCAGCGUAGGUGGUGAGUUCUCAACUCUGAUAUGGCUUAUGGAAGAACACUGUCACGGUGUCACCUAGCCGGUUGGAGGCCAACCUCUUACUAGGGACAGCAAUGGCCCUGUCCGGCCACUGUUUCGUGGCUGGUAUUAUUACCCCUAUGCAGUGAAUAUGACAUGUGGAUCUAUGUGUAUAUUAUGUCGUCAAAAGAACAUUAUAUGAACCGUUGAUCCACCUUUGAUUCUAUUAAUGUGUCAUGGUCAAUUGAUGUCAAACUCUAUUAUCUUCAAGUCUUAUUGUAUUGAUAAAAUCACGAUGCUGCUACUGCCAUUUUGAUGUUUAUAAAAGGGUAUUGAGAACCUGGUGGGUAUCCAUUCGAUGCGCAGGGUUGGGGGUGGGGAAAAAUGAGUGUAAAGGACAGGGAUGCAGUAUUUAGAAAGAAGGAAGCAAAAAAGGAAGCAUACCUCAAUCUCUGAAGAACAUAAAAGGUCUUGCAUUACUUAACCUAACAAUGAAUAAGCUAUCUGGUAGUAUUCCUGAUGCCCUUGCUAGCAUUGGCAACCUGCAACAACUGUAUCUAGCACACAACAACUUGUCAGGUUCCAUCCCCAAAGUUCUACAGAAUUUGACAUUGUUGGCAAAACUGGAUUUGUCCUUCAAUGAUCUGCAAGGCGAAGUGCCAAAAGGGGGUCCUUUUGCAAAUGCAACUCACUUGUCAAUUGAUGGAAAUGAUGAGCUUUGUGGCGGAAACCCUCAACUUCAGUUAGCUCCGUGCUCCACAGCUGCUGCGGGGAAGAACCGAAGGCGAAUGUCCAGAUCACUUAUGGUCACCGUAGCGUCAAUCUGUGCACUUCUAUUCUUAGGUUUAGUAGUUUUUCUUAUCCAUUUGAUCCACAAGAGGCUCAGACAAGGAAAGGAAAAUCAACUCAUUCCCACAGCAAUUGAUGAACAGCACGAAAGGGUUUCAUAUCAAGCAUUAGCAAAUGGGACUAACCAUUUUUCGGAGGUUAAUCUGCUCGGACAAGGAAGCUAUGGUGCAGUUUAUAAGUGCACUUUACAAGACAAGGGAAUUACCGCAGCUGUAAAGGUAUUCAAUGUGUGGCAAUCUGGGUCUACUAGAAGUUUUGUGGCUGAAUGUGAGGCACUGCGAAGGGUGCGCCACCGAUGUCUCAUAAAGAUCAUCACCUGUUGCUUAAGCAUUGAUCACCAAGGCCAAGAAUUCAAGGCACUGGUUUUUGAGUUCAUGCCCAAUGGUAACCUAAAUGGUUGGCUGCAUCCAGCAUCCAAAAUACAGAGUCUGAGCAAUACGCUCAGCUUAGCUCAGAGACUGGACAUUGCGGUAGAUAUCAUGGAUGCUCUGGAUUAUCUUCACAAUCAGUGUCAACCGCCUAUUAUCCAUUGUGAUCUCAAACCAAGUAACAUCCUCCUUGCCGAAGAUAUGAGUGCUCGGGUUGGAGAUUUUGGCAUAUCAAAAAUCCUUCCUGAUGACACUAGCAAAACUCUGCUGAAUUCAGUUAGCUUCACUGGACUAAGAGGUUCCAUUGGAUAUGUCGCUCCAGGUAACAGAAACUAACACUAUUAUUGCUAUGUUUAGUUUUUAACUUCCAUUUUGCCAAGUCCAGUUAUCUCGGCAUGCACGUUGAUAAGUAGCUUGCCAUGAAUCCACUGACCAAAUAGUGUCUGAAAUCUGAAUUGACUGCAGAGUACGGCGAGGGUCGCGCUGUCUCAACUCUUGGAGAUGUUUACAGCCUCGGCAUACUGUUGCUUGAGAUGUUCACCGGGGUGAGCCCUACUGACGACAUGUUCAAAGACUCCUUGGACCUUCAUAAGUUCGCCGAGGCCGCUCUCCCCGACAGAGCCUUGGAGGUAGCCGACCCGGCAAUCUGGCUUCAUGAAGAAGCAAAGGGGAAAGACCCUGCCACGGUGAGAAGCAGAAGCGAGGUGUGCUUGGCUUCAGUGAUCGGGCUUGGCGUGUCCUGCUCAAAGCAGCUGCCAAGGGAGCGGACGGCGAUGCGGGAUGCUGCCGCUGAGAUGCGUGCGAUCAGAGAUGCCUUCCUGGUUCAAUGUGCAACAGAGACUUGGCCUGCAGUCGGCACCACCGGCCUUGGAAGUGCAGACAGUUGAAUGGUGGACGGAGCUACGGUCUCUUGACGCACCAAGGAGCACCGGACUAGCAACUCUGCACCUAACAGAGUGGAGAAAGCGCCCCUUAAUGAAAAGAAAAACAGCCGGUGCAAGGCUUUAUACAAAGAAUGUGACAGCCACUGCGUGUAUCCGAGAGCCUUAUCUAAUCUACCGAGGAUUGUUGUGUAUGGAUGCGUAUAGAUUAUGCACGGACUCCUCUGUCCCAAAAUAAACGCACAUCUUGCUUCUUGAGGAGUCAAACUUCUAAGUUUGACUAAAAUUUAUAAAAAAAAUGUACUACUAUUUAUAAUGCAUAAUAAAUAUCAUUAGAUUGAGCAUUGGGUAUACUUUCCUAAUACAUUUAUUUGAAGAUGCAAAUAUUGUUACUAUUUUCUAUAUUCUUAGUCAAACUUAAAAAUCCGUCAUGAGGAUUAGUCACUAUAUAAGUAGGGACUAGCAAGCAUCAAAACCCCAUUCACUGCCCAUCGAUCGCUCAAAUAAAAGAAACCAUUGCAUAUGGUGGCGAUGCGCUCGCGGGCCUUUCUCCAACCUUUCUGCUCUCGCGGGCCUUGAACUCGCAUGGAACAGUUUUAGUGAAAGCGUGCCUCCAGCUUUGGGAAGAUUGCGAAGCCUUAUUUACCCGUCCUUAAGUGGCAAUAAGUUAGGAUCGAAUGAUAAGGACGGAUUGGAAUCCAUCACCAUGCUAGCAAACUGCAGCCAGCUUCAGCAACUGGCUUUUGAUAAUAAUUCAUUCAUCGGUGAACUUCCUAGCUCAAUAGCAAAUCUAUCGACAACACACCAAUUACUCUAUAUAGGAAACAAUUGGAUUUCGGGAUUUAUUCCAUCCAGCAUAGGUAAUUUGCUUGGUCUAGAACUGCUUACGUUGGCAAAUACUUUCAUAUCUGGAGUGAUUCCAGAUAGCAUUGGUCGCAUAGAAGACAUGUCCGUGUUAGGCAUUUACUACGCUAGCUUGUCAGGCAUCGUACCUUCAUCACAAGGAAACCUUACACAAUUGAAAACUGUCUAUGCAUACGAUAGCAACUUGGAGGGUCCAAUUCCAGCAAGCUUGGGGAACUUAAAGAAUCUUUUUGUUCUUGAUCUCUCAACGAAAGUGUGUAAUCUGUUAAGAUUUCAUGUUGAAGCAGAGCAUAAACCUAUCUCAAGAUUGCGAAGCUACCAUAGAGCAGAUCAGUCUGAGGGCUGGGCUAUGCCCUAUCAACACCUCCCUUCUUGCCCUUUCGGUAAGAUUACCCCAAACUAGAGUCUGUAAUUAAUUAGCCAAGACUAGAACCACAUAGUUCUUGUGGUUGUACUGUUUUCCUGGGUGACCACUCCAUGUUCCAAUUAAGCAUGAUGAUCUUGUAUUAAUAAAAGGUAUAUCAUAAAUAAAACAAGUCUAAUCAUUGAGUUCAUUAAAACCAUCACAACCCAAGUUAUUGCAACUAUGCAUAUCUACCCAAAAAAGGGUAAAACCCAGGUUGACAAACCCAGGCUGAGAAGAAAUGAUCAUAAAAACUAGGUAAACCUUAAUAGGGUCCAUCAAUUUUAAAUGAAGAGCAAUGCAAAAGUGAUUAAAUAUAGUUAUUGGGACAAAAGCACAUGGACACAUUUGCCUUUCUCCAAAGAAUAGCUGCUCAAAUUAUCUUCAGCUCUUGUUCCUCAAAGCUCUCGAACAACGUUCCUUAUACUCGCAUCAAUCAUCGGCAUAAGCAUACAAAGCAAACAACAAUCACAACUAAGAACAAUACAUCAAUCAUAGGAAAGCUUUAAAAGAGCGCACUAAAGGAUAAGGCUCAAAUCUGAAAUGCUGGGAACAAAACUAUGGUUGAAAUGACAAAGCUAUCGAGAGAUUUGAAUUAUAAAAGAAAGAGAAAAGCCUAUGCGCUUCAUAUAUUUUAAUAAAGAAAAUAAUGUAAAGAUAUUUUAGAGAAAUAUCCUUAGCAAGUUAUAUUUAUAUAUGAAAAGAUAAUGUAGAACUUAGUCAAAUUUUAUUUAUAAACAUUCAAGUACAAUUUAUGCAAAUUAAAAAUUUAAUUUGAAAAUAAAGUAUAUGUAAACAUCUAAGCGCAUAGCUUCAUGAUUCGGGUUGAACUAACCAAAUAUAAUUCAAAAACAUAUUUAUAUUUAUAUUAAGUAAAAUUAACAUAUAAUUAUGAAAACUCGAGAUAUAACUUAUGUAGCUUUUAUUUAGAAAACAAAUUGAAUAAACAUUAAUCAAUUUAAGUUUAAUUAUGAACCACCGUGGUGCAUCUCUAAUUCACUUUUAAUUGAAAGAGUUAUUUAAAUAAGCAUUAACUAAAUUAAUAUUUAUUAUGAAAAGUGGUUAUAACACUAAGUAGCUUUUAAUUAAAGAAGACAUGUUUAACAUGCAUUAAUUAGAUUAAUAUUAAAUUUAUUUUAAAAACAUGCAUGAUGGAAAGAUCAGUACUAACAUGUAAUUUGUGUUAUCACGAACCUAACUCAACAAGAACGGAUAUAAACGGAGCUGUCACGAGGAGUCUAUGGGUUAAAAAAGGUUGCAGGGCCUAAUCGUGAUUAACGGAAGGUUGUUGGGGCUAGCAAGGAAGAUUUGCAAGACACUGGAAUAGAGCUCGUUAUUAGGUCAAAGCAUAGGGUUAGAUCUGUUAAAGUGCUUAGGUUGGACUUGGUUGCACGGAUCCAAUCUAAUCAGGAACAUGGAUGAAAAAAACAAGACACAAGGAAAAACUAACUAUAUAUAGAGCUUUCUAGGGGCCUAUGCGCAAAAGCACCAUAGCUCAGCAUCCAUGGUGGACGGACUCCUUGACGGCAAAAUCCUCGUGCCGGAUUUUAUAAGCCUGGUAGUCCACCAAGGGGUUUCCCAAGUGGUUGAUUUGUAGGUGAGGGUGAUUGUGAAACCAAGAACUCGAAGGUGAUUGCGAGAACACGAAGGGACACAAAGGUUUUAGACAUGUUCGGGUCUCCGAAGAGUAAUACCCUACGUCCUAUAUGCUGGUUUGUAUUGCUUGAGAUUGAUCUGAUUAUUGCGAUACCCUCGGGGGUGCCCUUGGCCACCUUAUAUAGGUUGACGACCAAGAGUUAAAAGUCGGUUUGAAUCUAAUCUACUCGGUAGUUACAUGGAAAGUAAUCUGAGUUGGACUACAAUACGCGUUCCAUGAUAUCCGAGCAGAUUUGAACUGUCUUGUUGCCUUGACUUGCACUCCAAGUAACUUUAUGUCCUCAGCCCACACGCCCUGGUCGAGCGGGCCCUAUUUGUCAGGUUCGGCCAGUAUCCUGGUCGGCCGGGGCCCAUGGGGUACCCAUAUCCCUCAAGCCCCCGAGCGUUGUGUAGGCAAACAGAAACUUGAGGUCACCAAAACGAAACUUGAAAUGAAGUCAGCUGAAGCUGUGAAGGCGUCAUUGUGACGGAGAGGCUGCGCAGUGCUUAAAAGAAGGAAAUCUGAGCAAACGUAGAGCCAACGCGUAGAGCGAAGACGAGUGCCGAGUUGAUGGAUGCUGGCAUCUAGUAGGUCAGAGCGAAGGUUACGGAGGGUGUCGCAAGACAUACUCCGUAGGAGUAGCCCCCGAGCAUUGAAACGAUUAAGAUAAUUGGUACAUUGGUCAAAGUACAAAAAAUUAUCCCCUGAUGUAGAUCCUAGUGCUCGAACACAAGGAUGGGUGCAGCCAUGGAGGCCCGCCCACCAGAAGUAGGCACCCAGAUCCAAGGACGAGGACUGGCAGGACCGCGUAGCCACGCUGACCUGAAAUAGGCAUCCAACCCCCGAGGACGAGGACUAGCGGAGGCGCGGAGGCAUGCCGACCUGAAGUAGGCGCCCAGCCCCCGAGGAUGAGGACUGGCGGAGCCAUGAAGGCACGCCGACUUGAAAUAGGCGCCAAGUGUAACAACUCUACCUAAAUUAAGUGCUUUUAAAUAUAAACCAGUGGCUAAUCACUAAGUUAAAGAAGUAAAAUGACCAUUUUAACCCUAAGAAGCUCUUUUUGGAGUUUGAAAUAAAACUUGGAAUUUUAUAUGCAAACUUAAAAUUUUGCCCAGAUAAGAGUUGUAAAACUUUCAAUUUCAAACAACUUUUGUUAAAGGAACUUUGACUAAUUCGGAGUGGGAGGAAGUUAAAAACAGCAAUCAAAACCAGAGUACUAAUGAACCCUAUAAACCUCCAAAGUCCUUGUUUUCAAAUUUUCCCUCCAACUUUGCAAGCCUUUAUCUCACGAUUUCUUAUCUAAACUCAAGUCAGGCUCUUAAUAAAAGUUGUAGUCCCUCGAGUGUGUUCCAACUUUGUUACACUGACCCAGGUCAAAAUCGGGCCAUAACCUAUUCAAAAUAUUGGUCAAAGUGAGGUAAAACAGUCAACUCAUCCCCUGAGCCCCACAACGCUAAGUCUGAAAAACUGCUCAGAGUGCACCUCUUGGCGAGGGCGUUCCUCCAAAUUGUUGAACUAAACUCAAGAAAUACCCUAAAUAAAAGUUGAAGUCCUCAGUUUGGAGAGCAACUCCUUCAAUAACACUUUGGUCUAAUUCAACUUGGAAGCUGCCCUAAAUUCAACUCAAACAUAGCUAAGUUCCUGAAAUUCCACCUCUCCGCCCAAAAUUGGCUGAGUCUGGAUUUCCAGAUUUUUAGCAAAUUUUGGCACGAGAUAUCUUCAAAUCCUUUCACAAUCUAAACCAGCGCCUUAAACCAAGUUUGAACUACGUCCAGAGUUGAACAUGUUUGUUUAAAGGAGUUUUGGAAGUUGUGUUGCAAGCUCUUAAGUUAGGAUCUCCCAAAGCCGGUCGGGCUUGCUACUUGAAGGGGGCCUCGACGCCCGCGCGCCAGAGCACGUUCGCCCGCACGCCACGCGCCGCGUGGCCACCGGCCACCGGCAGCUCGCCGGCGCCCUAUCACCGGCGAGACAACGACAGGGCGAGGGCCACGGCGCCCAACCCGCGCCUGCGACAGGACGGGGCGAACGCCGGGCUGGCCAACUGCCGGCCGCGCGCAUGUCCUUUUCCCCCUGCCGCGGCUCUGCUCCGCCAAUCGCGCUCCGCCCGUCUGCCGGAGAAGCCGCCACACCAACGACGUCCCGCGCCUCCGCCCGCUCGCCCAACCCCCACGGUAGCCCUCCGCUUCGCCCGCCCGACAGACCGGAAGCCUCAGACACGCAUCGCCCAAGGCCAAUCCCCGCCGGAGACCACCCGGAGCUCCGCCUCCUCGACCCAAUGGCGCCACUGGCCAAUGGCCGCCUCGCCCGCGCACCCGCCGCACCCAGCCUUAUCCUUCCUCCACCGGAGCCCCGCCUCGACCCUCCGCUCCAUCGCUGCCAUAUAAAAAGGUCCCCCUCACCGGCAACGCCACCCUUUGCCACCGCCCACAAUCGCGCCACCGCUUCCUCCUCUACGCCACCGCUAAGCUUCCGUGGAGCUCACCCCUCCGUGCCACCCCGCACUCCGGCGACUUCACCGCCCGCUUCGCCACCCCUCCGCGCAGUCUCCGAGCAGCUCGUGGCCUCCCUGACGUCGCCGGUGCGCCGGAACGCCGCCUGCAUCGACGCCAGCCAAGCUCUAUCGCCGCCGCCGCGUUCCGAUCCCCGCCAGCCAUCUUUGUCGCCCCAACCCCACCAAACCGAGCUUAGGUGAGCCCCCGCACCCCUCCGGCCACUUGUUGCCCCAUCCUCGCCGGCGAACCGCCGGGGAUUUCCUCGCCGCCGCCGCGCGCACCCAGGGGACCACAUUGCAUCGUCCCUGUUCUUUCCAGGGGCCUGGGCGCAAAACUCAGGGACCCCUGCGUAGUUAAACCUUAAACCCAGGGGCUAGCUUGCAAGUUUGCCACGGCUUUUCUUUUAAAUAAUAGGCAGAAAUAUGGUUGAACUUUGUAAAUGCCCAGUAAAUCGUAGAAAAAUCAUAAAAAUGCCAAACCACUUUUGAUAGGAUCCUUGCUCUGUCUAGUUCCUAAGAAAAAUAAGUUUGCUCAUGUUACUAUUGUAAAUAAUAUCCUAUGCUUUUAAUCAUGUUGUAGGCCUUUUAAAUCCUAAUAAAUAGAAGAAAAGUGGGAAAAAUGUGGAACCAACUCUAUGAUGCUUGUUUCUAUGUGUAGAAGCUCAGAAAAAUGGUUAGGGCUCUGGUCUAGCACUUUAAGUCACUGUUUUGACUUUAAAUUGGGAAUCUGAAUAUAAAUCUUCCUUUUUGCAUAAGUUUGGAUGUAGAGCUCAGAAAAAUGUGAAACUAGUUGGGUUAAUUUUGUUUUGCUGUGAAGUUUGCAGGAAAAAUAUAAAUUGUUGUGAAAAAUAGAAAUAAAAACACCUUCCUUGCUAAGCAUGUUUAAUUAAGAAAAGAAAUAGAGUUAAUAGUAACCUUCUCCAAAAAUUAUGAAAAAUUCACCAAAGCUCCUAUAACAUACCCUUAACACACUGGUUAAGUUUCACCCUCUGUUGCACAGUAACUUUGAAGAUGGAAAAAGUUAAGCUCAGUUUACCUUUAAUAAUAAAAUGCAUGUAACUUCUUUUUAAGUCAUCCUUUGGCUCGCAAACUUUUACAGUAACCUAGUGAUGGCUUAAGUGAGGUGCUGUAAUUUUAUCAAUGCCUUUAACUACUGUUUGGAUAUGAAGUCAUUUUGGUUAAUUAAUCAACCUAAAGGAAUAAAAUGAGAGCGCAAAUUCUAAUACGAUUAAUAAGUGGACACUGAAAGAGGUACAUAAAUACAUUCAGAAGUAAGUAAUUAUUCCAAUGCACCCAAACCACCCAACACGACCUUUCACACUCUUUAUGCAACUCUAAAUGCAAUAAAGCUAUAUAUGUACACAAUCGCCAUUCAACGCGAACUCAAGUUUAAAACAACCACUUUUGUUUGAAGUUAAAAGAAAGUAAACCUCGCCAAAGUGUUUGUGGCCGUUGUGACUCUUGUCUUAAGCCAUGCCUUGUGUCGUUGAAUAAACGCGCGAGUCCAACUAAAUUUUUGCAUGUGCAUGUCGUAUAGAAGCAAAUAUCGCCGACGGAACCUACGAGCUCAACUCGGCACCGGAGGAAGACCCCGCUGUGGAGCUUCACCACUUGGAAGGCGAGCCCGGACUGGAGCAAGAUCCCGAGGACCCGCUAACUUUUCUUGAAGGCAAGCCCCGGAGCAUAAAUUCCUAUCUUUGAAUACUUGCAAUAUUAUUGAACACUUUGAUUGCGCAUUUACGUUUCUAGGAGUUGUACUGAAACCUUAGAUGCAUGAACUUAGUACCUUGUUUGAAUACUAGUUGCUAAAGUCGAGUAGUUGCAAUGCUUAAUAGGUUCCGUUAAAAGUCGAGUGAUUUCCAGUCACUCGCGAGUUAUAGGAGUUGAAUGUUUACUUAUGUUGCAACUAUAAGGACGACGGAUGGGGUCGGGCUUAUGUUCGAUACUUGGUGGUUUUCCCCGUUUGUCUAAAGGAAAUUGAUCUAAGGUCGAAACGUGUCGGCGUUCGUGAUCAAGUGUUUGAAAGUACUAAUCUCAUACCUAGUAUGGGAUGGGGAAGCCUAGUACCUGAUUGAACUGGGGUGUGGCAUACUCCCCCGGUUAUCCUUGGAACGUCGUUCCCAUGGUGCAUCAUGUGGGUGCAAGUGCGGUCGUAGUACGGCAGAGGCCGGGAUUAUGGAGCAUUGCAUGCCAAAGGUAGUUGGCCCUGACACGUGCCUAAGGGAUCGAUGGGGAUGGCUAACAAAUGAAGCAACCCUUCAUGGUGCGUGGAUGUUGUGAGAUUAGGUUCGCCAUGCAUGGUUAAUAAAUUCGAAUCGAUUCGUCUGCCUCUCAUAGUUUGGGACUACUUGAUCGCUAUUCUGCACUGAGUAACGAUGAAACAUGAUUACGAGAUUAAGUUGAUGCUUGUUAUUUAACUGCUUGGAAAUCAUGCUUGUUUAGCAUAAGUUGCUAAUCUAGAAUGGUUAAAGAACGUAGAACUGGAGCUAAAAUAUUGAAAGUAAGGACCGAUUGUAGACGCUUGUGGCAAAGAAAUCCCAGAGCCAGAAAGCCUUGCAUGUCUAGGUCUUGGUAAAGCUUUUCACUCGACGGGUCAGUCUUGCUGAGUAUUAGUUGCUCAGCCUUGUUGUGGCUUAAUCUUUUCAAGUGAUGUCAAUAGUUUGGUUGCGGGCACCACUUGGCCUACCCAGCUCCCUCCGGGCUGGACAGUCGAGUGGGAUCCCUCCUCGGACGGCGAGGGAAGGGAUUUUUGAUGUCAUGAUCGGCUCCGUCGUGAUGUCAUGUAUCGACGUUUAGCUUCCGCUUGUUUUAUCCGACUUUUCGAACCUUGCAACUUGUUUGAAUUUUCAGAAACUCUGAUGUAAUAAUUUGUGAGACUAAGUAAUGUGAUGGAAUGUUGCAAUCUCUGUGCUACUCACCUUCGUGUGAGCGAUGCUUCUCAAUCCUGUUUAGGUGGUUCAUCGGAUGAAAUCCGACGGUCGACCAGGUUAACUUGCUUAAAGUGCAUAAUCACGUGUCAGGCGACUUCAAUGCAUUUUAGUCAGGUUAAUUUGGGUGGUUCCGCCACAGCUGGCAUCAGAGCUCGAGGACCGGCAAAGCCACGAACGCACACUGACCAGAGUUAGGCGUCCAGCCCCCGAGCAUGAGCACGAGGACUGGUGGAAGCACGUCGAGUUGCCUCCCGCCCUGAGCCGAGGCAGAGAGGUUGGCUGGGCGAUGGGAGGCACGCGGAGUCAUCUACGGCACCUAGCCACCGAGCCUGGGAGCCAGACGAGUUGCAGAAGCAUGCCAAGUUGCCUCUCGCCCCGAGCUAGCAAGGUUGGCCGGGCGAUGGGAGGCACGCCGAGUCAUCUGCGGUGCCCAGCCCCCGAGCCUUUGAGCCGGCCGAGCCACAGAAGCACGCCAAGCCGCCUCCCGCCCCGAGUUAGAGAGGUCAGCCGGGCGAUGGGAGGCACGCCGAGUUGUCUGCGGCACCCAGCCCCCGAGCCUAGGAGCUGGACGAGCCACAAAAGCAUGCCAAGUCGCUUCCUGUCCCGAGCUAGAGAGGUCGGCCGGGUGACGGGAGGCACGCCGAGUAGUUUUUUGAGCUGUAAAAGGACAAUACAAUUAUUAUGUAGCAUAAUGUAGAUUAUUUAAUCAUUGAACAACUCGAAAGUUUAAUACGCUGUAGAAGUAAACUCUUGCUCAUCCUGCUCUUGUAGGCCAAGUAAAUUCCCCAGGUAGUUAGCUUAUUACGUUCAAGCACCUAGCCCUACUAACCACUGCUCAUGGAGAGGACAGUUUAUCUCAGGCUAUAGCGCUGGGGCUGACCUACUGCACGCCACCCACCACCGCCAUCUGCCACUUUGUUCCCCUCUCUCUCACUGGCGAGGUCAUUCCGUCGAUAGAUGGGCGCUGCGGGUUUGGUGCGGCGUGGGUGGGUGGGGUGCAGCAAGGACGUGAGGAACCCUCUCAGAGAGAGAGAUUUCCGACCUACUGGGUAAGCGGUGUGAUGAUCCUUGGAUAGAGAACUUGCUCCGCCAGAGUAAAUCUGACAGAUGCCGAGCUGGCGGCGGGCACCAAGUCGAAGUCCACUGACAUGCUCCUAAAGCGAAGCUGGAUCGGGUUGGUGAGAAAGUCCUUCAUGCUCUUAGGGAAAACAAUGCCGGGCGGGAUGCCAUCCAGCUCGCUAGGGAGGAUGUCACAAUCAUCCCUACCUGGCGCACCAACUGUCGGAUUUAUAUGCCCGGUAGUCCACCAGGGGGUUACCCAAGUUGUUGAUUUGUAGGUGAGGGUGAUUGCAAAACCAAGAACUCUAAGGUGAUCGUCAAAACACGAAGGGACACGAAGGUUUUAGAUAGGUUCGGACCUCCGAAGAGUAAUACCCUACGUCCUGUAUGCUGGUUUGUAUUGCUUGAGAUUGAUAUGAUUGUUGGGAUACCCUUGGGGGUGCCCUUGGCCGCUUUAUAUAGGCUGACGAUCAAGAGUUACAAGUCAGUUUGAAUCUAAUCUACUCGAUAGUUACAUGGCAAGUAAUCUGAGUAGGACUACAAUACGCGUUCCAUGAUAUCCGGGCAUCUUUGAAUUGUCUUGUUGCUUUGACGUGCACUCCAAGUAACUUCAUGUCCUCAGCCCGCACACCUUGGUCGGGUGGGCCCUACUUGUCAGGUAUGACCAGUAUCCUGAGGUACCCAUAUCUCUCACCUCGGUGCUCCGGUGAUUAGGGUCGGCAACGCGGAUGGGGAUUGGAAGAGGAGAUCGAGGGGACUUUAUGGAGAUGCUCACCGGCGGCGAGGUGGACGGAUUCUGGCCAGAAUUUGGCUGGCGGUGGAAGAACACGGCAACUGGCUCAGGUCUUCGCGAGUGAUGGUACUCCGGCGGUGAAGCGGCGACGAAGAAUGGUGGCAGAGCUGCUCCUCGAUGUCACAGAGCUCCCUAAGGCUCUAGCUUGCUUGGAUAGUCGACGGGCAUAGCGAAUCGGCCAGAGAAGGCUAGCAGUGGCUCCUAGCUCCGGCGGAUGUGGGGGAUGGCGGCGCUCGUGCAAGCAGGGAAGAGCGGCGGUGUGAGGCAGGGUAGUAGCAGGGGCACUGUCUCGACUUUUAUUGGUGCGUGGGUCCACGCCUGCCUUGGCACGCACGCCGAGGUUCAGCGGUGGCAACGCCCAAGUGCAGCUACGCUUGGCCUCGACCCGCUAGUGGCCGAUGGGCCUAGCGGGCCUAGCCGAGCCAUCAGCUGGGCCGAGUCGGUGCAGGUUGGCUGGAGAGGGUUGGGCUACAAAGACUUGGUCCGAUUAGGAUUUUCCUUUUUUAGAAAGGAUUUCUCAUGAAAGAAAAAUCUAGAAAAAUUCUAGAUAAUUAAUUUAAACAACGAAAAAAACUCUAAAAAUCUAAAAUUCCAGGAAAAAUCCUAGAGAUAGUUUGGGACAUGAGGAGUCCAAAUACAAUACUUGGAGCUCAUGAAAAGAAUUCUAGAACCUUCCAAAAAUUGGAUUUAGUUGUAGAAAAAAUGAGAAUAAAUCCCAAGAAAUCUGGAAAUUCUCAUAAGAACCUAAUCGGCAUCUAAACGCAUUCCAAAAUAUUUGCACUUAUGAAAUACCAAGAUGCAUCGGUAUGAAUGCAACACAUACGCAGAACCAUUAUAUUUAAUUCAGAAAAACACUCAAUUAUUUUCCUAUACUAAAUUUCUUGUCAAGAAAAUAAAUGUUGGAAAAAUUUUAAAAUUAUGAGAAAAACAUUGUUUAAUUAUUAUUUUUAAUAUGAAAUUUCAAAAAUUUUAUGUGUGGCAGAUACCCUCAGGCAAAUUGGAUGUAUCCUUCAAUGAUCUGCAAGGUGAAGUGCCAAUAGGGCUUUUUUUUUGCAAAUGCAACUUACAUGUCGAUUUAUGGAAAUGAUCAGCUUUGUGGUGGAAUACCUCAACUUCAUUGAGCUGCAUUCUCCAUGUCCAGUGCAAAAAAGAAAAAAAGGAAAUUUGUCGAAAACCCUUGUGAUCACCCUAACAUCAAUCAGUGCAGUUGUAUUCUCAGUUUCAGUACUUGCUGUAAUUGUGUUGAUCUGUAAGAAGCUUAGGAAAAGCCAUGAAAGUCAACUCAUAUCCACAACUGAGGAACGGUAUGAAAGAGUUUCUUAUCAUGCUUUGUCAAAUGGGACCAAUGGAUUUUCAGAGGACAAUUUACUUGGACAAGGAAGCUAUGGCAUGGUUUAUAAAUGUACUUUACAUGACCAGGGUACUACUGUAGCUGUAAAGGUGUUUAACAUACAACAAUCUCGGACUUUUAGAAGUUUUGUCGCUGAAUGCGAGGCACUCAGAAGGGUGCGUCACCAUUGUCUCGUAAAGAUCAUCACUUGUUGCUCAAGCAUCAAUCACCGGGGUCAAGAGUUCAACGCACUAGUUUUUGAGCUCAUGUCAAAUGGUAGCCUAAAUGGUUGGCUUCACGCAGAGUCUGACACACUUACCCCGACAAAUACUUUGAGCCUUGAACAAAGGCUACACAUUGCUGUCGAUAUCAUGGAUGCUUUGGACUAUCUUGAUAAUCACUGUCAGCCAUCAAUCAUUCAUUGCGAUCUCAAGCCAAGCAACAUCUUUCUUGCGGAAGACAUGAGUGAGUGCCCGAGUUGGAGGUUUUGGCAUAUCAAGAAUCCUUCCAGAAAGUGCUAGUAAAACCCUGUAAAAUUCGAAUAGCACAACUGGAAUAAGAGGCACCAUUGGUUAUGUUGCACCAGGUAAUGAAAGAGAUGUUUUUGGUAUUUGAAAAAUGUUCUUAGUUCUUAUGUAUACAUGAGCUGCUGACCUUUGGCCUUUUUUUCCCAAUCAGAGUAUGGUGAAGGUUCUUCUGUCUCCACUAAAGGUGACGUUUAUAGCCUCGGCAUAUUGCUGCUUGAGAUGUUUACUGGAAGGAGCCCAACGGAUGAGAUAUUCAAUGAUUCUUUGGAUUUGCACAAGUUUUCAGAGAAUGCUCUUCCAGAGAGAAUAUGGGAUAUAGUUGAUCCGACAAUAUGGAUGCACACAGAUGCCUAUAACAGCACUAUAAGAAGUGGAAUUAAGAAUUGCUUGCUUUCUGUUGUUUCUCUCGGAAUAUCAUGCUCGAAGAAACAACCUAGGGAGCGGAUCCCGAUUCAGGAUGCAGCCAUGGAGAUGCACGCUAUUAGAGAUUCGUAUCUCAAGUUUGCCAGAUCUCUUUUGGUGGAGCAUGGAGUAGUAGCAACAACUCACAGUGAUUUCCCACAACAGUGAAUACAUAGGACUGAAAAUGGGCAAGAUGUCUGCUGGUGAUCAGUUUACCUGAAAUAACUGAAGAUGUAUGAAGCUUCAGCUUUAUAAUUCGUCCUUGCAUGUGUUUGCAUCAGAUAUAUGGAAGUAUAAAAUAAGUUUAGAAAAUGUUUCAAAAUAGAUUAGAUCAAGAGGUUUCUCUUGUCGUCUGUAUGACACAUUUUUUGUAGAGAAUUCAGUAAUAUGUAUGAUUCAUAAUACAAUCAAUGCUCUGCAAAUUUCAGAUAGCACAAUUGGAAUAAAAAGCUCAUUCAUUGAUUAUGUUGCUCUAGGUGACUCAACUUAUUGUGAUGUUCACUGUAGAUUUCUCCAUGGUCCAAACGACCUUUGUGAUCAGUUAUGUUUAUGCAUUUUGUAGACUUGUUAAGUCUUUCCCUAACUUGCUGACAUAUCAGCCGGAGCAGAGCACUCUAGGCGGCGCUUGCCGCUUGGUGGCUGCGGUGGCGACAGGCGGCAUCCAUACCUGCUCUGUCGGAGGCUGAGGGGCAUAAUUACGUCUUGGAGUCGCCACCGCGCGACCUUCGGAGCUCGCCCAUGCCUCGUCGGUACGAGCUCAGUCGCGCGGUGAAUGGCGCGUGCAUCUGGGGUCCGUCAGCUGCAGGUGCAGAUGGGUAGAGAGCUUAGAGGCGCUAGGUCUUCAGAAGAUGUUGAGUGGGCUGGAUGGGGCUUUGCGGCUCUGAAUGGCGACGCGGGCAGGGACGACGACGCUGGACGCGUGGGGGAGGAGACGACCUGAACCAGGGGCAUUUCUGAUAAUAGUCGGAUCGCGAUCAAUAAUCGCAAUCCAAAUUAGGGGGCUAUUUACAAAUAAUAGGGGGGUAUUCCGUAAAUAUUUGGUUCGCGAUCAUUAAUCGUGAUCCAAAUGAGGGGUUAAUUGAAAAUAUGAUGGGGUAUCUUUAGAAAUUCCGGACCGCGAUCCCAUCCUCCGCCGCGGCUCGCCGGAGCGCCGCCAGACGCCGGCUGUCCCUUGGGGUACCUCUUCUUCCUUCCGCCUGUCGGAGCCCUAAGACGCGGUCGGUGUUUUAUCUGACAAGGAACCCUGAAGUCCGAACUAACUGAAGGAGACAGACAUGAUGCUGACCUGGAAGAAGACGGCCUCGCCAUGGCCGGAUGCGGCGCGGUGGAAGGACAGUGUGGUGGCGGAGCGGAUGUUGUCCGACGUGAACUCGCCAGCGGCGUGGUCCACCACAUUCCGUCGACGGGCGGUGCACUUGCUGUCGCCUGUCGGCUACUUCCAGGCAGUAGCUGAGCUUCAGAGUUCAGACAGGGUGCUUGUGCUUGCAACAAGUUCAGAACGAUGUCAUUGCUUUGAUGCAGAGGAUGGAGCAAACCGGUUGCAAAUUGGAUUCUGAUACAUAUAACUUAAUAUUGAACCUUUAUGUCGAUUGGAAAUAUGAGAAGGGGUGCACCAAAUAUGGGAUGAGAUGGAGAGGAGUGGAUCAGGCCCAGAUCAACGAUCAUUUACUAUUAUGGUUCAUGGUCUUCAUUCCCAAGGAAAGCUUGAUGAGGCUCAACAAUGAAGUCAAGAGGGUUGAUCCCUGAACCAAGGACCAAGAUACUGGUGAAAGCUAUACAUAUGAAGAAAGAUGGGGCUGUCACAGAAGAUCAGUCUGCAAAUAUGACAGGGAAGAAUCUAAAACUGGAUCCACGAUCUAGACUAUUCCAUGUUCAUAAAUAGUUUGCUGUCAGAUCUUACUUCUAUAACCUGAACAGAGGAUUGCUGGGCACGUAUUAUGUGUCAAAAGAAUCUCUUCUACCAG
rnacentral:lncRNA from 1 species